UAUUGGCAGAACAACAAUACAAAGUAAAAGCUUUAUUUUAAUUUUUUUUUUUUAAGUUAUUCAGGUGUAUUCAUUUUGAAACACAUCAAGUAAUAUUCAGUUUUUUUUUUCCAGCCUCUCAAUGACAGGUACAUAUUAGUAAGAUACAAAUCACCCUCCACCCUUUAUUUAUUAACCUUAUUAUUUAUUUUUAUUUACCACAAAAUAUUUGAUAUUUGAAGGGCAAAACUUUACAACGUCACAAAUCUGUUAACGUUCUAGCAAAAUUUGCACAAUUUAGUCCACUUCCAUUUUAAGAUCUCCAGAUUUAUCUUCUUCUUUUUCAUCUUCUUU